rnacentral:rRNA from 1 species
UACCAGCACCCCGAGUGGUCGGGACGAUUAUUGGGCCUAAAGCAUCCGUAGCCGGCCUUACAAGUCCUCCGUUAAAUCCAGCUGCUUAACAGAUGGGCUGCGGAGGAUACUAUAAGACUAGGAGGCAGGAGAGGCAAGCGGUACUCAGUGGGUAGGGGUAAAAUCCGUUGAUCCAUUGAAGACCACCAGUGGCGAAGGCGGCUUGCCAGAACGCGCUCGACGGUGAGGGAUGAAAGCUGGGGGAGCAAACCGGG